rnacentral:rRNA from 1 species
UACAGAGGUCCCGAGCGUUGUUCGGAUUCAUUGGGCGUAAAGGGUGCGUAGGCGGCUUGCUAAGUUUGAUGUGAAAUCCUGGGGCUCAACCCUGGGACUGCAUUGAAUACUGGCAGGCUAGAGUACUGGAGAGGAAACUGGAAUUUACGGUGUAGCGGUGAAAUGCGUAGAUAUCGGAAGGAACAUCAGUGGCGAAAGCGACUUCCUGGACCAGUACCGACGUUCAGGCACGAAAGCGUGGGGAGCAAACAGG